GGGCCAUUAGCGCAGCCUGGUAGCGCAGUAGACUCUUAAUCUAUUGGUCGGGAGUUCAAAUCUCCCAUGGCCCG
rnacentral:tRNA from 1 species